UGGGGGAUAUUGCACAAUGGGGGAAACCCUGAUGCAGCGACGCCGCGUGAGGGAAGACGGCCUUCGGGUUGUAAACCUCUGUUGCAGGGGACGAAGGAAGUGACGGUACCCUGUGAGGAAGCCACGGCUAACUACGUGCCAGCAGCCGCGGUAAUACGUAGGUGGCAAGCGUUGUCCGGAAUUACUGGGUGUAAAGGGAGCGUAGGCGGGAGUGCAAGUUGAAUGUAUAAACUAUCGGCUCAACUGAUAGAAGCGUUCAAAACUGCACUUCUUGAGUGAAGUAGAGGCAGGCGGAAUUCCUAG
rnacentral:rRNA from 1 species